rnacentral:lncRNA from 1 species
GACUCCUACCCCUUUAACCAUUUGUUCUGGAAAGCCUCACUGAUUUGCAGGGCUGGAUUAGGUGAACCCCUGCUCCCAGCACGCUGAGCUGACCUCUCCUGGCCUUGACUACACCCUAAUGGAAUUGACUGUUCUCUGGACUGUCACCCACACCAGAUGGUACCUGACAUUGGGAGAGACCUAAGGAACUAAAACCCAACAGUCCUCAGUGAACCUGCCAACGACAUGGAAG